rnacentral:rRNA from 1 species
GACGAACGCUGGCGGCGUGCUUAACACAUGCAAGUCGAACGGAAAGGCCCUGCUUUUGUGGGGUGCUCGAGUGGAGAACGGGUGAGUAACACGUGAGUAACCUGUCACUGACUUUGGGAUAACUUCAGGAAACUGGGGCUAAUACCGGAUAGGAGCUCCUGCUGCAUGGUGGGGGUGGGAAAGUUUCGGUGGUUGGGGAUGGACUCGCGGCUUAUCAGCUUGUUGGUGGGGUAGUGGCUUACCAAGGCUUUGACGGGUAGCCGACCUGAGAGGGUGACCGGCCACGUUGGGACUGAGAUACGGCCCAGACUCCUACGGGAGGCAGCAGAGGGGAAUAGUGCACAAUGGGCGGAAGGCUGAUGCAACCAAGCCGCGUGCGGGAUGACGGCCAGCGGGUUGUAUACCGCUUUCGCCUGUGACGAAGCGUGAGUGACGGUAAUGGGUGAAGAAGCACCGGCUAACUACGUG